GUUGGGUAGGGGAGCGUUCUGUAAGCCUGCGAAGGUGUACUGUGAGGUAUGCUGGAGGUAUCAGAAGUGCGAAUGCUGACAUAAGUAACGAUAAUGCGGGUGAAAAACCCGCACGCCGGAAGACCAAGGGUUCCUGUCCAACGUUAAUCGGGGCAGGGUGAGUCGACCCCUAAGGCGAGGCUGAAAAGCGUAGUCGAUGGGAAACGGGUUAAUAUUCCCGUACUGGUGGUAACUGCGAUGGGGGAACGGAGAAGGCUAGGUUGUCCGGGCGACGGUCGUCCCGGUUCAAGCAGGUAGGCAGAGUGAUUAGGCAAAUCCGGUCACUUAAUGCUGAGAUGUGAUGACGAACCACCAAGGUGGUGAAGCAAUUGAUGCCCCGCUUCCAGGAAAAGCCUCUAAGCUUCAGGUUACCAACAAUCGUACCCCAAACCGACACAGGUGGUCAGGUAGAGAAUACUCAGGCGCUUGAGAGAACUCGGGUGAAGGAACUAGGCAAAAUGGUGCCGUAACUUCGGGAGAAGGCACGCUGGCGGUAGGUAAAGUCCCUUGCGGACGGCGCUGAAGCCAGUCGAAGAUACCAGCUGGCUGCAACUGUUUAUUAAAAACACAGCACUGUGCAAACACGAAAGUGGACGUAUACGGUGUGACGCCUGCCCGGUGCUGGAAGGUUAAUUGAUGGGGUUAGCCGUAAGGCGAAGCUCCUGAUCGAAGCCCCAGUAAACGGCGGCCGUAACUAUAACGGUCCUAAGGUAGCGAAAUUCCUUGUCGGGUAAGUUCCGACCUGCACGAAUGGCGUAAUGAUGGCCAGGCUGUCUCCACCCGAGACUCAGUGAAAUUGAACUCGCUGUGAAGAUGCAGUGUACCCGCGGCAAGACGGAAAGACCCCGUGAACCUUUACUAUAGCUUGACACUGAACAUUGAGCCUUGAUGUGUAGGAUAGGUGGGAGGCUUUGAAGUGUGGACGCCAGUCUGCAUGGAGCCAACCUUGAAAUACCACCCUUUAACGUUUGAUGUUCUAACCUAGGCCCAUAAACUGGGUCGGGGACCGUGUCUGGUGGGUAGUUUGACUGGGGCGGUCUCCUCCUAAAGAGUAACGGAGGAGCACGAAGGUUGGCUAAGCAUGGUCGGACAUCAUGCGGUUAGUGCAAAGGCAUAAGCCAGCUUGACUGCGAGAGUGACGGCUCGAGCAGGUACGAAAGUAGGUCUUAGUGAUCCGGUGGUUCUGAAUGGAAGGGCCAUCGCUCAACGGAUAAAAGGUACUCCGGGGAUAACAGGCUGAUACCGCCCAAGAGUUCAUAUCGACGGCGGUGUUUGGCACCUCGAUGUCGGCUCAUCACAUCCUGGGGCUGAAGUAGGUCCCAAGGGUAUGGCUGUUCGCCAUUUAAAGUGGUACGCGAGCUGGGUUUAGAACGUCGUGAGACAGUUCGGUCCCUAUCUGCCGUGGGCGUUGGAAGAUUGAGAGGGGUUGCUCCUAGUACGAGAGGACCGGAGUGAACGCACCACUGGUGUUCGGGUUGUCAUGCCAAUGGCAUUGCCCGGUAGCUAAGUGCGGAAGAGAUAACCGCUGAAAGCAUCUAAGCGGGAAACUUGCCUCGAGAUGAGUCUUCCCUGUCGCUUUAAGCGACCUAAAGGAACGUUUAAGACUAAGACGUUGAUAGGCUGGGUGUGUAAGCGUAGCGAUACGUUGAGCUAACCAGUACUAAUGAACCGUGAGGCUUAACCUG
rnacentral:rRNA from 1 species